CGUUCCUAGCUUCUCAACCGUCCGAUCUUCACAUCUUUGCAUCCCAUCCGUUCAUUCUGGGCAGAAACUGACUGUUCUGAUUGGCCCUCCUGCUAGCUAACCCCAUGCAACAGCCAUGUGUUACCCGCCAGCAGCUGCACAUGGGUCCACUUCUUUCCGGGCCCGCACGUCAGUCACUGCGGGUCGAUUUCGUUCGGUCGGGCUUGCCAUCGGAUUGGGAAAAAGAUCUCCACCCGCAGGGGUAGAUUGGAUAUUUCCUCUCACCGCGACCAGAUCAGGCAAAACUGCAGCCCAUGGUCCUAAACCUAACCAGUCGUGCUCCUUCCCCAAUCUCUUCGUUCUCCACCGCCGCCUCCCCAUCCGCCGCUCCCCACCGGGGCCGUCGUCCUCACCGGCGAGCCUCCGUCGCCCCGCUUUGGGCGGUGAGAAAAGGAAGAGCGGCUCGAUCUGGCACGGCCGCGCUCGCCUUGUCUUUGUCGGCUCUGCCCUUAGGCUGUCGCCGCUUCUCCCUCCUCUAGACGAUCUCCGUCGUUGCCAUGGCUAGCCGGGAGCAGGGCGCGAGCGCCGCCUCCCGUCGUCGCCAUGGCUGGCCCGGAGCAGCGCCGGCCUUGGGGGUAACCGUCGCUUCCCGUCGUCUCCAUGGCUGGCCCGGCGCAGCGCCGACCUUGGCGUGAGCGUGCGGCACGAGCAGGGGGCUGUCCUUGGUCGGGACGAGCAGGGUGCUGUCCCGUUCUCUUUAUUUUUUCCGCUCUCUCUUGAGUUUCUAUUUGCUUAUUUUGUUCCUUUUUUAUCUCUUCCUCAUCUGCCUCUUUUUUGCUAUGGAGGGCACCAAUCACCAUCACCCACGACCAAGAAAAGCAUUGGCUUCAAACAGAGGUGCAGCGGUAGAGCGGAGACCUCGGACUGAUCCCUCUUUCCCAAACAAUCAACGGGAGCAAGAAUGAGAAUUCCAUGAGUUUUCGAUGAAACUAAGGAAUAUGAACCUGUUCUGGUCGUCUCUUCUAUAGAUUCAACCACACACGGCCUGUUGAUAAUCCUGAAUUUUCGAGCAAUGUAUGGGUUAAUUGUCACUCAAAUGGAGGGGGCCCUCUUCAGAAGCUAAAGGACACUAUGCCUGGAACUUUUCGAGAACGCAAAGGCAACCAGUAAAUCUCGGAUCAGCCUGCUAUGGUAUAUAAGAAAGUUACUUAUUUCAUAUAGGUUGUUGUUGAUAUUCUUUGCUAUUCUCAUACACUCUGGUCACUUAUCACACAUAGUUUAUUCCUAUAAUUUGCACACAAAACUUUAUAUAGUUCAUCAUGUGUUUUGAGCUAAAGCUGUGACUUUAGGUUUAGUAGCAUUGGUAAUCAGUCCAUAUAUAUUUUUUCUUAAAGUUUUAUAAAAAUGAGAAUCCAUUUUCUAAUUUCAAGAUCCAUAUACAUGGAACAUCAGUUGACAUGGUGAACGUUAGUAGUUAAACAUUAGGGCUGAAAGCUAUGAAAGCUUCUUCCUUUUGUAAUCUAUUAUGGUCAUUGCUUAGGCUCUUAUCCCAAUGAAUUUGAAUCAUUCUUUAUUAGCCUGCUGAUAUUAUGUUGCCUCAUAUGUAAUCCUUUGUUAUUGUGUAUUUGUUCACCAAAUAUGCAUUUAUAUUUUUAUUUGUGCAGUGUCCUUAAUCGGUUGAAGGUUUUAUGGUCAACUAAUUUUCGAACCAUCCUAUUGCUAGGAGCUUUUUGGUUGCUGUAGAUAUCAAGGUUGUGGUCUGCAUAUAUUCUUUUCUUCUUUGAUGGAAUUGCAGUGCUCCUGCCAUUCAGGCAUUUUUUUAUUCGCUACUUUUCUUACAGAUGUUCGGUGUGAAGGACCCAAAAGUGAGCCUCCACUUCUACUCAAGAUUAUAAUUGAUAACUAACUCAUGGAUUCUCAUUUGUUUCUUUAAAAUUCCAUUUACUCAGGCGGUGCAUCGUCAUUUUCCCCCAUCUUAAGUAGUUAUGAUGCUAUACUCGUAUUUUUGUGAUAGUUCCAGUUUCCGGAUGAUUUAUCGUAUCGACGUUAUAUUUUACCUCUACGAUUUGUACUCAAACA